CCUACGGGAGGCAACAGUAAGGAAUAUUGGUCAAUGGGCGCAAGCCUGAACCAGCCAUGCCGCGUGCAGGAAGACGGCCCUAUGGGUUGUAAACUGCUUUUGAACAAGAGAAAACCUCGGUACGUGUACCGAGCUGAUAGUAUUGUUAGAAUAAGCAUCGGCUAACUUCGUGCCAGCAGCCGCGGUAAGACGAAGGAUGCAAGCGUUAUCCGGAUUCAUUGGGUUUAAAGGGUGCGUAGGCGGCCUGAUAAGUCAGUGGUGAAAUCUCUCAGCUUAACUGAGAAACUGCCAUUGAUACUGUCGGGCUUGAGUACAGAUGAUGUGGGCGGAAUAUGACAUGUAGUGGUGAAAUACUUAGAUAUGUCAUAGAACACCGAUUGCGAAGGCAGCUCACAAAACUGUAACUGACGCUGAGGCACGAAAGUGCGGGGAUCAAACAGGAUUAGAUACCCUGGUAGUCCGCACCGUAAACGAUGAUUACUCGUUGUUGGCAAUAUGACCGUCAGCGACCAAGCGAAAGCGAUAAGUAAUCCACCUUGGGGAGUUACGCCGGCAACGGUUGAACGUUAAGGAAUUGACGGCGNGAGAGNGCGAGGACGACGACGAGGAGGAGG
rnacentral:rRNA from 1 species